CCACCCCCAGCUCUUUUCCUGUUUAAAACUAACAUGAGACUUGUUCUCAAAAAGAUGGACUCAACCACACUCACAGCGGGUGCUACCCACUGAUUUUCUCUUGGUGGAGCAAGUUCCUGUUUUCUAAUUCUCAUUCUCAUUUUCAUUCUCUUUCUUUCCAUUCUUUCUUUCUUUCCAUGACCUCUCUAAGAGGUCAUGCUCUGGGGGAACAUAGUUCUGUUUCUGUUUUUCAAUUGGGGCAUAAUGGAAACUAGUAUCUAGUGCUUCCCAGGUAGAGAAAUUGUCAAGGGUGACCCCAUACAUCUUAAACUUUCCUCUUAAAUGGGUGUUUGAUAUCAAGAUUAUUUAGCUGAGAAUGUGAGUUUCUGAGGGUUGGCUUAAAUGCUCUUAAACUAAAGUGAAACUGUUGGUCUUUAGAAUCAGACCGACUCCAAAAUACCAAAGCAUUAUUCCGAUUUGAAAACUUCAAAAACAUCAACUGAUAUUUUUUGAGGAGUGGGGAUAGGGAAACAUGUAAAACUUAUUCUAGCAUAGUAGGAGACCUCAUACUCCAUUCUGAAAGUGACCAAAGGAGUCCACUUUGCAUCGGAUGUCCUAGAAGGAAGACCUCCCUGGGAACCCUGGAGAACCUUUUCUUCUAUGGAGAGUGUCCCAACAUCUAAAUAGGUAUCGCUACGCUUUUUUUUUUUUUUUUUUUUUUUUUUUUUUGCCUCUGGGCAGAAAUACUUUGUUUAUUCUCCUUUCCCUAGGGAACUUCCCCAAAGAUCGAAGCAAGAGGGGCUGGGGCCAUCCAAGCAGAUCCAAACCAUCUAAACAGGGUUGGCACUGCGGCUAUCUGCGGCAUGGCAGAGCUGGGUCCACCGCGCGCGGUACCUGGUGUUCCAAGUGCUUGGCUCCGCAGGGCCUGGGAGCCGGGGGCCGGGAGAGGCUUAAGAGACUGUGAUCGGGGCUAGUCAUGGACAUAGGGGAGGGCUAAACCCAAGCGCUGAGCCCCAGAGGGGCCGGGCUGGGUAGAUGGAACGGGGACCAGAGGAGUCUCCCCACAGCCCAGAGGAAGCUUAGCUUUGGGCAAGAGCGCAAAGAGCUGCAGCAGGCGCUCUUUGUGCUUCUUAUUUCCCCUGGUGGAAAUAGUCUGCUUAAACUCCUGUUCUUUGCGCCUGCAAACUCCCGUCCUCCCACCUCUGUUCUCGCGCGCGGAGAGGCCUGCUUCUUGGGAAGAAGGGAGACAGAAUCUUUUGGAAAGGCAGCCGGCCUGCGCCUCCUCCCUUUCGUGGCGGGCAGGGCGAAGAGCCCGGAGCUCUGCGCGUGAGAGACAGGAGGAAAGAGAUCCAGAGGCCUGAGCUUCCCAGGCCAGGCAGUAGUGAGCCGGCUGUCUGGGACCUCUGCGCAGGACAGAGCUCAGCACAUUGCACAAAGCGCCGGCAGCUCCCUUUUCAGCCUCACACAGUGCGGGCCCUCCUCCCUAUGUCCCUUGACGGAACGAAGAGGGAUUUUCCUUCUGAGCCUACUGUGUGUGUGUGUGUGUGUGUGUGUGUGUGUGUGUGUGUGUGUGCGCGCGCGCGCGCGCGCUAAAGACAACACUCAGGGAAAACCGUGUCCAGUUUUAGAACCCCAGCCGUACCUGGUGAGGUUCAGUCCGACCGGCCUCUAGUAACUCAGACCUAAAGCCCUUGUGUAUGUGUGUUGUCAUUAACUCCUGUGGCUUGAACCUAUUGGGUGGCGUCUUUAUAGAACCUAAUCAGAAAUCACACCGGUUGAGGAUUAGUGGGGCUCAGCUUGCAGGGAAUGAGAUCUCUUCGUUUUCCUGUUUCCAGUUUCUUCACUUCUCUCCCUAAGAUAACAAGCCCAGGCCGCACUGAGGAGAGAGCCAGUUGCCCUGCUGAGGGAAGAGCUAGAAAUAAGUCUUCUCUGGGACCAGGCUUAAAGGAAGUGAUUCUGCUAGGCUAUGGGAAGGGGGGUGGGCUGGAAGGGACUAGAAGGGAGCCAAAUUAACUGAAUAUUAGGGUGACCGGGAAAAAAAGCCCCAAAACUCAAAGCUCUAAAGGCAUCUCUGGGCUGCUUUGAAAAAGUGAGAUUAUAAAUCUUUGAACAGAAUACUUCCUGUCCCUGACUUUUUGUUUUCUUAACAUUGAGGGAAACCCGCUAAUUCUGCUUGUAGCAUCGUUAUUAAGUUUCCACUGUUUGCUUCUGACCUGUUUGAUGGAUUGUUGCUCUUCCUAAAACUAUUCUGACUCUACAAAUUCCUUCACAUAAUUCAAGUUUUCGUACUGAGAGAAAUGAGGAAGUAGAAAGAAGAAAACAAAAACUAGAUGGGGGAUUUUUACCCUUCCUUGCUAAAUAAAGGUUUACCUGUCGUUAAUGGUCAGUGUCAUUCCAAAUGGAGUGAUUUGUCCUAUCAACUGUGAGGAGGUUGCCUAUUUUAAGGAUGGAGAGGCACUGCCUGGUAGAUGCCAUCAUGACUAAAGGUGU
rnacentral:lncRNA from 1 species